AAAACCCGUGAAAGUUUUAUUUAUUUUGGUUGGAAAUUGUAUUUGGACGAACAAGAACAAGCGAAGACAAAACAACAUUAAAGAGAGAGAGAAGGAAAAAAAAAUUGAAUCUUUUGGUCAUCUCUGAAAUCAGAAUUGAAUUGGGUCAUGCAGACGCGAUUAUCUGGGCAAGCUGGUCGAGGAAUGGCUAUCGCAGUUUAGGCCGAGGAUACAAGUCAAUCACCGGAGAAAAUCCCUCCCUCACACCAUGGAAGAAUAAAAUAAGCAACCCCUUGCUUUGCAGACUUUGGACUCUGGAGUUCGGAGAGAACGUGGGGGAAGAAACAAAAACUCUAAUGUCUGCUGAAAUCUGAAUUCACUUCUGAACGGGAGAGAGAGGCCACAAUAUGGGCACCCAAAGGCCAAUUCUGCAAGUGAGAACCCUCACGACCUUCACAAGACACCCAGUGUUUCACUCUCAGAGAUCCCAUUCUAUAUCUUCUUGCCCAUCAAACCGCUACUUGGAAAAUGGUGUUACACUCGUGCAGUCCAAGCGUACCAGCCAAGAACCCUUUUUAUCAGCUUCUCUGUCAGAUUCUCUUUUGGUAGAGAAGCUUUUGUUGGGUUUGAAGCAAGGUAAUCUCAAUUAUCUGCGUAACUAUCUGUUUCGGUUAAACCCACUUCUUGUUGUUGAACUUGUUUCCCGUUGCCGUGAAAAUCUGCAUCUGGGUCUGAAAUUCGUUGACUUGAUUAUGUUAAAUUGUCCGAAUUUCAAGCACUCGUCACAGUCUUUGAGUGCAAUGAUUCACAUUUUGGUCAGGGCCCGAAGGGCUUCGGAUGCUCAAGCUUUAAUGCUUAGAAUGGUUAGGAAGAGUGGCGUCUCCCGUGUUGAAAUAGUUGAGUCUUUGGUUUUGACCUGUAGCAGUUGUGGCUCUAGCUGCUUCGUUUUUGACUUGUUGAUUAGGACGUAUGUGCAAGCUAGGAAGUUGAGAGAAGGGUUUGAGGCGUUUAAGGCACUUAGAAGCAAGGGAGUUGCUGUUUCGAUAAAUGCUGCUAAUAGUCUUCUUGGUGGGCUUGUGAAGGUAGGGUGGGUAGAUUUGGCAUGGGAAGUGUAUGGGGAAGUUGUUAGCAGCGGGGUUCAGUUAAAUGUUUAUACACUAAACAUUAUGGUUAAUGCCUUGUGUAAAGAUGGUAAAAUCGAUAGGGUUAAAUUGUUCAUAUCGGACAUGGCUGAGAAGGGGGUUUGUACAGAUAUUGUGACAUAUAAUACUCUAAUCAAUGCCUAUUGUCGUGAAGGGCUUGUGGAAGAAGCUUUCCAGUUGAAAAACUCUAUGGCUUCUAAGGGUUUGAGACCAGAGCUUUUCACAUACAAUGCUAUCAUAAAUGGAUUAUGUAGGGUAGGAAAUUAUGCGAGGGCAAAGGAAGUUUUGUAUGAGAUGUUGCAGAAUGGAUUAAGUCCUGAUACUACUACCUUUAAUACACUGCUGGUUGAGAGUUGUAGAAAAGAUAAUAUUUCAGAGGCUGAAGGAAUUUUUUGUGAAAUGUCAUGUAGAGGUGUUGUUCCUGAUUUAGUCAGCUUCAGUUCAAUAAUUGGGGUGCUUUUGAGGAAUGGACAUUGUGAUCAUGCACUAUUAUAUUUUCAAGAAAUGAAAACUGCAGGCUUGGUUCCAGAUAAUGUGAUCUAUACUAUCCUUAUAGACGGAUAUUGUAGAAAUGGCAAAAUGUCAGAGGCGUUGAAGUUGCGGGAUGAAAUGCUUGAGCAAGGCUGCGUGGUGGAUGUUAUUACCUUCAAUACUAUUUUAAAUGGACUUUGUCGGGAGAAGAUGCUUGCUGAUGCAGAAAAACUCUUCAAUGAGAUGGUGGAAAGGGGUGUCUUUCCAGAUUUUUAUACUUUCACAACACUUAUUCAUGGUUAUUGUAAAAACGGGAAUAUGGCUAAAUCCUUAAGUUUGUUCGAGGCAAUGACUUGUAAAAAUAUCAAGCCUGAUAUUGUCACGUACAACACAUUGAUUGAUGGAUUCUGCAAAGUAGGUGACAUGGAUAAAGCUAAGGAGCUAUGGAGUGACAUGGUUUCUAGAAGAAUAUUCCCUAAUUACAUUUCAUAUGGCAUUCUUAUCAAUGGAUUCUGUAGCUUGGGACUUGUCCAUGAGGCGCUUCGUUUGUGGGACCAGAUGAUUGAAGAAGGUAUCAAACCCACUCUAGUGACUUGUAAUACUGUCAUAAAGGGCUAUAGCCGCUCUGGUGACACAGAAAAGGCAUAUGAGUUCUUAGGCAAAAUGAUUUCAAAAGGAAUUGUUCCUGAUAGUAUUACUUACAACACUCUGAUUAAUGGAUAUGUAAAAGAAGAAAACCUGGAUAAAGCCUUUUUUUCAGUGAAGGAGAUGGAAAAGCAAGGACUACUGCCAGAUGUGAUUACAUACAAUGUCAUUCUAUAUGGGUUCUGUAGACAGGGUAGACUGCAUGAAGCUGAGUUAGUUUUGCGAAAGAUGAUUGAGAAAGGUGUAAAUCCUGAUAGAUCCACUUAUACGUCAUUAAUAAAUGGACAUGUGACCCAGGACAAUUUGAGAGAGGCAUUCCGCUACCAUGAUGAAAUGCUGCAGAGGGGAUUUGUACCAGAUGAUGAAUUCUAGUUAUUGAUUUUUCUCUUGUAGCUCAAGAAAAAGGUGGGAAAAUAGAAAAGGAGAAUGUUGUGGAUAAGACAAGGUGGGUUGUUGGCUAUGACUAUGACUACGAUCGUGAAUUCAGGAUACUUGAUCUUCAUCAGCUUAUCACUAGGUCUGAAGAUGUGAAAUGGCCUCAUCCUGUAGAAACUAGAAAGUUUGAAAUUGAUACUAUAAUGGGAAAGAGGCUAUUGAAGGGGAGAAUCAGAUGGGCCUUUCAUGUGCCCGCUGAAACAGAACAUGCAAAUAUGCAAGAGAGCGCUCUUUCUAACAUUCAUUUGUUGUGCUUGGAAUAGUGCAAUCUCUGUUCUUGGUGUUCAGAAGCUAGUAUGCAGUUGAGUUUGCGGUGAUACAGCUGCUUCUGUCACAGUUUCUCUUAUCUCCGCUGCGGCAGUUCAGGUUGGAGAGAAGAAAUUUCAGGUCUCAAUGAGCCAACGAGGAUCUGUCUGAGAGAUGAGAUUUAAAGAUGGAGAGAAAUUUAGAGUGAAUUUUUCUUGUAUCCUUUUAAGAUCAAGAAAUGAGUUGUUUUGCACCCGAAGAAAACGAGUAUAAGGAACUUAGGUAUGCACCACUACUCAGCCGGUGUCCUCUUCUUCUUUUUUCUGUAAAAUUAACGGCUUAUAGUAAAUCUCAUUUUGUCAAUUUUAACUACAAAUAACUCGAUGGAAAUGAAGUGAAACGCUAAUAUGUGGACUACUUCAAACUUUUGUUGUUUCAUUUACAGUGCAGUUUCAUUUCCAAUGACGGGGAUUAUAUGAGAGCAUGUGCAAUUCAUGUGUGUUUGUUAGAGACGUCAAUGUCUUGCUUGUUCUGUUUAUCUAUGUUCAGUACUUGUGCACUAGAAAAUGCACGCUCCUACGGGAACCCGGUAUUUUAACUAAUUAAGUAAUUAGUCAUAAUUUAA